UAGUGUUGUCCCUCAGCGAACGGUAGAUGGCAGCACAUGAAAUUGAGGAAGCGCAGGUGCGCAUUUGAUACGAUUACGACGCAAACAUUCGUUCGGAAGGACAGCCACGUAUUUAUAGCGCAAAUUAAAUUAUCGAAUAUUGGGUCUUUUAGGUACUAGGUGGUUGCUGAAACUUGCAAAUUUACUGUCUGUUGAGUGGUCAAGAUUCACUGAAAAUGGGCUACACCCCAGUGCAGAUUGUGGCUGCUCUUCUUGCUGCAUUUUUUGCCUUUUGGCUGUAUCUAUCAAAGUAUCAGAGCUAAGCAUUUCUUACCUGACAAGGUCUCUGAGUCACACCAGAACGAUGGAGGACCAGGCCCGCGC